CUUGCACUGACUGGUGGUGUUAAGGUAUGUAGCACCAGGAUUUGGCUGUGCUUAAUGCAGUUUCGUUUCCUGGCACAAGAACUGCAUAAUCUGCAUAUGAUUGAGAGCAUCAAGGAUUUCUGAUGUGGGGACUGAUGUGGUUAAUUAUUAUUUAUUUAUUUGGGGUAGGGGUUUGUUUGUUUGUUUGUUUCAUUUUGUUUUUAAUUAGAGUGAGAUUUUCUCAUAAAUAAUGAAAUUAAUGUCUUUUGCAUCCAAAAUAAGCACCGUAUGGUCAGUGAGAAAGGGACCAGGAAAAGAUGAGGAAGGCAUGGCAGCUGAAGCUGAUGUGGAGACAAAAUGGACUGACUGGCAGCAGAGGAGCUAGAAUUACUGAUAAUGGCUACUCUGUACAAGACACUGUUCACUCAGUACAUACGGAUAAUGUUAAUGAUUUGCUUUAUUACCAGUUUCCUGAUCCCCCCUUCAAAUGGAACAAGAACCUGUAUUUCUGCAACUGUAUUUUCAUUUGUCUUCAGGUAAGGAAAAGAUACAUUCAGUACACGUUAAACUAGAACCUUUAAUCUAACACGUUCCCUCUUCAGUGCCCCUUAUUGUGUGAGUUUUGCUUCUCUGCAGUCACCUUUAAUCGAUGAGUCAGCAGGUUUGCUGUGUCUGCUGGUCAGAGCCCAGAACUCGGCUUCUGAAACGUGGGAAGGCAGUCUCCAGUUGAGCCCACUCAACAGGCAAAGAGAGACACAUCCCUCUCCUACACUGUGAAACAGCCCCUCCUAACAGAGCAAAAAUGCUUCUGGAAAAAAAAGAACUGCAGUUUGCAAAAUUGAAUCUGGGACUUUUGUGAACGUUAGGACUGAAAAGAGAAGAGAAGGAGGCAUUAUCCAUUUCAGCUCUUCGUCAAGAGAACAGCCCUGGGCUGCAUUCCUCAAAGAAGACCACUUUUUGGCACGGGGUAUGGUCUGUUUGUGGAUGGUUCAUGGGUAACAAGGGGUAGAAAAGAAAGUUGUGGGAGCAGGGAAGAGCUGCCCGUAGCAGGAGUUAGUCAGCACAUGGAGAACGACUCCAUGAAUCAUGAAUACUGUGCAUGGGUUGGAUAUACAAAGUGGAUAUGUCGUUAGUGUAAAGUGAAGUGCUUUUUCUCCCUUGAGGGCUGUUAGCAGCUCUCUAAAAGCAGAGAGGAGAGCAGCUAGUAAAGUUGG
rnacentral:lncRNA from 1 species